rnacentral:rRNA from 1 species
GAUGAACGCUGGCGGCGUGCCUAAUACAUGCAAGUCGAGCGAACGGACGAGAAGCUUGCUUUUCUGAUGUUAGCGGCGGACGGGUGAGUAACACGUGGAUAACCUACCUAUAAGACUGGGAUAACUUCGGGAAACCGGAGCUAAUACCGGAUAAUAUUUUGAACCGCAUGGUUCAAAAGUGAAAGACGGUCUUGCUGUCACUUAUAGAUGGAUCCGCGCUGCAUUAGCUAGUUGGUAAGGUAACGGCUUACCAAGGCAACGAUGCAUAGCCGACCUGAGAGGGUGAUCGGCCACACUGGAACUGAGACACGGUCCAGACUACUACGGGAGGCAGCAGUAGGGAAGCUUACGCAAUGGGCGAAAGCCUGACGGAGCAACGCCGCGUGAGUGAUGAAGGUCUGCGGAUCGUAAAACUCUGUUAUUAGGGAAGAACAGAUGUGUAAGUAACUGUGCACAGCUUGACGGUACCUAAUCAGAAAGCCACGGCUAACUACGUG